rnacentral:rRNA from 1 species
AUUGAACGCUGGCAGCAGGCCUCACACAUGCAAGUCGAACGAGUGGCGGACGGGUGAGUAAUGUCUGGGAAACUGACUGAUGGAGGGGGAUAACUACUGGAAACGGUAGCUAAUACCGCAUACCAUCGGAUGUGCCCCGAUGGGAUUCGCUAGUAGGUGGGGUAACGGCUCACCUCGGCGACGAUCCCUAGAUGGUCUUAGAGGAUGCACAGCCACACGUUAACGGAGCCACGGUCCAGACUCCUACGGGAGGCAGCAGUGGGGAAUAUUGCACAAUGGGCGCAAUCCUGAUGCAUCCAUGCCGCGUGUAUGAAGAAGGCCUUCGUGUUGUAAAGUACUUUCAGCGGGGAGGCGUUACCCGCAGAAGAAGCACCGGCUAACUCCGUGCCAGCAGCCGCGGUAAUAC